ACAUGCCUACAUCAUAAUGUUAAUGCACCAGAUUUUAUUAGAACUCCACAGUUAAGCACACUCGAGCUAUAGUAGUAUAGGGAUGGGUGACCACCUGGGAAGUCCUAUUUUUUACAUGCC
rnacentral:rRNA from 1 species